UAGGGAAUCUUCCGCAAUGGGCGAAAGCCUGACGGAACAACGCCGCGUGAGUGAUGAAGGUCUUCGGAUCGUAAAACUCUGUUAUUAGGGAAGAACAAAUGUGUAAGUAACUAUGCACGUCUUGACGGUACCUAAUCAGAAAGCCACGUCUAACUACGUGCCAGCAGCCGCGGUAAUACGUAGGUGGCAAGCGUUAUCCGGAGUUAUUGGGCGUAAAGCGCGCGUAGGCGGUUUUUUAAGUCUGAUGUGAAAGCCAACGUCUCAACCGUGGGGGGUCAUUGGAAACUGGAAAACUUGAGUGCAGAAGAGGAAAGUGGAAGACCAUGUGUAGCGGUGAAAUGCGCAGAGAUAUGGAGGAACACCAGUGGCGAAGGCGACUUCCUGGUCUGUAACUGACGCUGAUGUGCGAAGGCGUGGUGAUCAAACAAG
rnacentral:rRNA from 1 species